rnacentral:lncRNA from 1 species
AAAAGGUUUACGCUUGCAACACGGUUACACUAACGCAAUCGACAGUUCGACACGAUAUCCCAAAACGACGACCAAAGACUCCAUGAAUGGCGGUGAGGGAUUCGAGUGUCAGUGGCUUUGCCGGUGAACGGCGUUGUUGGCUUCGUCGUUUAACAUUGUUGAUGGAUUUGCCGGUGAAACCAUAAGAUUGAGAGAGAUCGACAGUGAGAGAUUUGACGCCGAGAGAGAUCGAUGGUUAAGCGAUUUAAGAAAAUUAUGUUUGUUUCGGUUUACU